GGUUUAAUUCGAAGCAACGCGAAGAACCUUACCAGGUCUUGACAUCUUCUGACAAUUCCAGAGAUGGAACGUUCCCUUCGGGGACAGAAUGACAGGUGGUGCAUGGUUGUCGUCAGCUCGUGUCGUGAGAUGUUGGGUUAAAGUCCCGCAACGAGCGCAACCCUUAUUGUCAGUUGCCAUCAUUAAGUUGGGCACUCUGGCGAGACUGCGGUGACAAACCGGA
rnacentral:rRNA from 1 species